GCCCGGAUAGCUCAGUUGGUAGAGCAGAGGAUUGAAAAUCCUCGUGUCCUUGGUUCGAU
rnacentral:tRNA from 1 species